GUCCACGUGGCGUAACGGGCAAACGCGGCGGUCUUAGAAACCGUUUCUUGGGGGUUCGAAUCCCUCCGUGGAUA
rnacentral:tRNA from 1 species